GGGUAUAGUUUAGUGGCAAAACGAAAGCUUCCCAAGCUUUCGUUGAGGGUUCUUAUAGGACAACCCGUCCUAGUGAGUAAAGGAGCCCACCCACCA
rnacentral:tRNA from 2 species